GUUCGAUUAUGGCUCAGAUUGAACGCUGGCAGGAUGCUUUACACAUGCAAGUCGAACGGCAGCACGGACUUCGGUCUGGUGGCGAGUGGCGAACGGGUGAGUAAUGUAUCAGGACGAUAUGCCUAGUAGCGGGGGAUAACUACGCCGAAAGCGUAGCUAAUACCACAUACGCCCUUCGGGGAAAGCGGGGACCUUUCGGGCCUCGCACUAUCGGCAGCGAUAUCGGAUUAGCUAGUUGGUGGAGUAACGGCUCACCAAGGCGACAGUCCGUAGCUGGUUUGAGAGGACGACCAGCCACACUGGGACAGGACACGGCCCAGACUCCUACGGGAGGCAGCAGUGGGGAAUUUUGGACAAUGGGGAAACCUGAUCCAGCCAUCCCGCGUGUGCGAUGAAGGCCUUCAGGUUGUAAAAGCACUUUUUGGCAGGAAAAAGCAGCACCAGGAUAAUACCCCGUGCAACGCGGCAUUCUGCACCUGCAAGAAUAAGCACCGGCUAACUACGUGCCAGCAGCCGCGGUAAUACGUAAGAGGUGCAAGCGUUAAUCGGAAUUACUGGGCAUAAAGCGUGCGGGCGGUUCGGAAAGAAGAUGUGAAAUCCCAGAGCUUAACUUUGGAACUGCAUUUUUAACUACCGAGCUAGAGUGUGUCAGAGGGAGGUGGAAUUCGCGUGUAGCAGUGAAAUGCGUAGAUAUGCGGAGGAGACACCAUUGGCGAAGGCAGCCUCCUGGGAUAACACUGACGCUCAUGCACGAAAGCGUGGGAGCAAACAGGAUUAGAUACCCUGGUAGUCCACGCCCUAAACGAUGUCAACUAGCUGUUGGGGCCUUCGGGCCUUGGUAGCGCAGCUAACGCGUGAGGAUGACCGCCUGGGAAGUACGGUCGCAAGAUUAAAACUCCGAAAUUGACGGGGACCCACCAAGCGGUGGAUGAUGUGUGGAUUAAUUCGAUGCAACACUUGAAAAACCUUACCUACCCUUGACAUGUCUGGAAUCCCGAAAGAGAUUUGGGAGUGCUCGCCGAAGAGAACCGGAACACAGGUGCUGUGGCUGUAUCGUCAGCUCGUGUGGUGAGAUGUUGGGUUAAGUCCCGCAACGAGCGCAGCGCAUCUCGUGGAUUUGCUACGAAAGGGGCACUCUAUGAGACUGCCGGUGACAAACCGGAGGAAGGUGGGGAUGACGUCAAGUCCUCAUGGCUAUGGGUGGGGCUUCACACGUCAUACAAUGUGGUCAGGGGACAGAGGGUCGCCAACCCGCGAGGGGAGCCAAUCCCAGAAACCCGAUCGUAGUCCGGAUCGCAGUCUGCAACUCGACUGCGUGAAGUCGGAAUCGCUGGCGUAAUCGCGGAUCAGCAUGUCGCGGUGAAUACGUUCAGGUCUUGUACACACCGCCCGUCACACCAUGGGGGUGGGUUUCACCAGAAGUAGUUAGCCUAACCGUAAGGAGAGGCGAUUACACGAUACGGACCAUGACUGGGUGAAGUCGUAACAAAGGUAG
rnacentral:rRNA from 1 species